CCCUAUGGGGUGCAGCAGGCGCGAAACCUUUACAAUGCACGAAAGUGUGAUAAGGGGAUCCUGAGUGCUUACGCUUUGCGUAGGCUUUUGCCAAGAGUAAACUUCUUGGAGAAUAAGUGGUGGGUAAGACUGGUGCCAGCCGCCGCGGUAACACUAGCGCCACGAGUGGGAAUCGCUAUUAUUGGGCCUAAAGCGUCCGUAGCUGGUUUGAUAAAUCUUUUGUGAAAUCGUCGGACUUAAUCCGACGGCGUGCAGAAGACACUGUCAGACUAGGGACCGGGAGGAGUCAGAGGUAUUCUUUGGGGAGCGGUAAAAUGCUAUAAUCCUUAGAGGACCACCUAUGGCGAAGGCAUCUGACCAGAACGGAUCCGACAGUGAGGGACGAAAGCCAGGGGAGCAAACCGGAUUAGAUACAAGUAAUUUUCUUUAGAAAAUUUCUGUACAAGCAAGCAAUUUUGCUUGAUAAAAAAACUACAUUGCUUGUUCAGUGUGGAAAUAUGUUAUGAAAAUUUCUUGCUAAGUACCCGCGUAGUCCUGGCCGUAAACGCUGCGAGCUAGGUGUUGCAUAAUCUAUAAGAUUAUGCAGUGUCGAAGCGAAGGUGUUAAGCUCGCCGCCUGGGAAGUAUGGUCGCAAGACUGAAACUUAAAGGAAUUGGCGGGGGAGCACCACAAGGGGUGCGGCGUGCGGUUUAAUCUAACUCAACGCAGAGAAUCUCACCAGGGGCGACGGCAGGAUGAAAGUCAGUCUGAAGGGCUUACUGACAGCUGAGAGGAGGUGCAUGG
rnacentral:rRNA from 1 species